rnacentral:lncRNA from 1 species
UCGCGUUGCAGGGUUUGGGAGAAUUGCAAAUUUAGGGUUUUCAAUCAACGGGUUUCAGGGUGUCUCAAUCAGACCACAUUAUAGAUCGCCGGUUUCAGAUCAAUCAACUGGAUGUAGCCGAUAAUCACAGUAUAUUUGAAUCAACAGUUGGGUGAUGAAGGUUGUUGCGUUUGUCCGACCCAUUUGGAGGAGAGAUGGUUCAGUCGUUGAAACUGAUAAAGAUGUAAAAGAUUCUCUUUGGAUCACUAGACUUGAUUGAAGAACUAUGUUAUGGUUGUUGUAGAUGCUUCUGUAGCGGAAGAAUUUGCUGAGGUGGCAACCAAGCCAUUGAAAGCCUUACCAUAGGUUACACAUGGUCAAACGUUUAUGGCAUCAGAGAAACCAGAAGGGUCCCAAUUCAGGUGUUGGCAGAUUUUUUUUAACAUGUUGGUUUAUUUUACGUGAAAGAGGUAAUAACUUCUCAUCUCAUAUUUUUUUACAAGUAUAGUUUGACCCAUUUACUUUUGGAUCCAUCGAUUCUGGUUACAUUUUUCAAACAGGUCCAAAGGGUAUUUUUAUUAGUAUGUGAAUUAUGUAAAACGUUUUUACAGAGGUUAGGGUAUUAUUGAGAAAAUAUAUGUGUUUUAAUCAUACUGACUCUUAUUUAUAUAACAAUAGAGGUCCUGGACAAUAGAUUAUAGAGGUCCUGGACAAAGUAUUUCGUGUCAACCCAUCCUGAUCUGUAAUGGGUCAAAAUGGACCAAAAAGGGUUGGGCCAACUUACACUCUUUUUUUUAUAAUUUCUUCGUUUUAUAAAGUUAUAAACAUGCAAAGUAUGACUCAAUAGGUCUUUAAAAAUUAUAGUUCAGUUUGUAACUUUGUAUGGGUUUUAAUCUGUUCGACCCUUUUGAUCCAUUUUCUUUUUAGUUAAACCAUUUGACCUGUUAAAUGUAAGACACUGAAACUGAUAUAUGUGUAAGUUGAUGGUCAUUUAUUAAUGACAGUCUGCCACAGUUCUGCAUUUUUAUUAUUUGUUUAUUUGCCAAUAUAGGAACCUACUGUACCCAAUGAAGUCAAGUCUAAGACCACCCGUAAUCGUUUAGAUUUGGGCGUUUUUAAGCCCAAGCACGCCCCCAAACGACGUUAUCACCACUACGCCCCUUUGAUGACUAGGAUUACACGUGGCGCAAAACGCCCUAGGGUGGGGCAUUAUUCACCCCCCAACGACUACGCAUGGUCUAAGCCACUUGCAGAGGAAAAAAUCUGUUGGUAAACAGCCUAAUCUGGCCUGUUUUGGCCCGCUACCCGAGCCUCCGAUUUUGACACCUAUACCUGUUUUUCUUUCACCUUGGCUUACUAUUGAUCAUGUUCUUGUAUGUCCGUUUACAUCUGUAACUGUACUCGACCCCUGUGAAGAUAAACAAUGUUUUUGUGUUCAUCCUAUCUCUCUCUCUGUAUCCAUCUCCAUGUGGUCAGUGUUACUGUAUGUAAAGUCAAAUGCUUUGGAACCCUUAUUGAUCAUGACUAUAAAAUUACGUUAUAAUACAA